GAUGAACGCUGGCGGCGUGCUUAACACAUGCAAGUCGAACGAAGCACUUUAUUUGAUUUCCUUCGGGACUGAUUAUUUUGUGACUGAGUGGCGGACGGGUGAGUAACGCGUGGGUAACCUGCCUUGUACAGGGGGAUAACAGUUGGAAACGGCUGCUAAUACCGCAUAAGCGCACAGCAUCGCAUGAUGCAGUGUGAAAAACUCCGGUGGUAUAAGAUGGACCCGCGUUGGAUUAGCUAGUUGGUGAGGUAACGGCCCACCAUGGCGACGAUCCAUAGCCGACCUGAGAGGGUGACCGGCCACAUUGGGACUGAGACACGGCCCAAACUCCUACGGGAGGCAGCAGUGGGGAAUAUUGCACAAUGGGCGAAAGCCUGAUGCAGCGACGCCGCGUGAGCGAAGAAGUAUUUCGGUAUGUAAAGCUCUAUCAGCAGGGAAGAUAAUGACGGUACCUGACUAAGAAGCACCGGCUAAAUACGUG
rnacentral:rRNA from 1 species